CCUACGGGAGGCAGCAGUGGGGAAUAUUGCGCAAUGGGCGAAAGCCUGACGCAGCGACGCCGCGUGAGGGACGACGGCCUUCGGGUUGUAAACCUCUUUCAGCAGGGACGAAGCGAAAGUGACGGUACCUGCAGAAGAAGCACCGGCCAACUACGUGCCAGCAGCCGCGGUAAUACGUAGGGUGCAAGCGUUGUCCGGAAUUAUUGGGCGUAAAGAGCUCGUAGGCGGUUUGUCACGUCGGAUGUGAAAACUCGGGGCUCAACUCCGAGCCUGCAUACGAUACGGGCAGACUUGAGUUCGGCAGGGGAGACUGGAAUUCCUGGUGUAGCGGUGAAAUGCGCAGAUAUCAGGAGGAACACCGGUGGCGAAGGCGGGUCUCUGGGCCGAUACUGACGCUGAGGAGCGAAAGCGUGGGGAGCAAACAGGAUUAGAUACCCCGGUAGUCCACGCCGUAAACGGUGGGUGCUAGGUGUGGGGAACAUUCCACGUUCUCCGUGCCGCAGCUAACGCAUUAAGCACCCCGCCUGGGGAGUACGGCCGCAAGGCAAAACGUCAAAGGAAUUGACGG
rnacentral:rRNA from 1 species